AGCAGCCGCGGUAAUUCCAGCUCCAAUAGCGUAUAUUAAAGUUGUUGCAGUUAAAAAGCUCGUAGUUGAAUUUCGGGAUCAAUAUGUUGGUCGUGCCUCGGUACGUACUGGCGUCAUUGGUUUCUACCUUCUGAAGAACCUCGAUGUCAUUAAUUUGGUGUCUUGGGGAAUCAGGACUGUUACUUUGAAAAAAUUAGAGUGUUUAAAGCAGGCUCACGCUUGAAUACAUUAGCAUGGAAUAAUGAAAUAGGACGUUUGAUUCUAUUUUGUUGGUUUCUAGGAUCGACGUAAUGAUUAAUAGGGAUAGUUGGGGGCAUUAGUAUUCAAUUGUCAGAGGUGAAAUUCUUGGAUUUAUUGAAGACUAACUACUGCGAAAGCAUUUGCCAAGGAUGUUUUCAUUAAUCAAGAACGAAAGUUAGGGGAUCGAAGACGAUCAGAUACCGUCGUAGUCUUAACCAUAAACUAUGCCGACUAGGGAUCGGAUGAUGUUAAUUUUUUAAUGACUCAUUCGGCGCCUUACG
rnacentral:rRNA from 1 species